GGCGGACGGGUGAGUAAUGUCUGGGAAACUGCCUGAUGGAGGGGGAUAACUACUGGAAACGGUAGCUAAUACCGCAUAACGUCGCAAGACCAAAGAGGGGGACCUUCGGGCCUCUUGCCAUCGGAUGUGCCCAGAUGGGAUUAGCUAGUAGGUGGGGUAACGGCUCACCUAGGCGACGAUCCCUAGCUGGUCUGAGAGGAUGACCAGCCACACUGGAACUGAGACACGGUCCAGACUCCUACGGGAGGCAGCAGUGGGGAAUAUUGCACAAUGGGCGCAAGCCUGAUGCAGCCAUGCCGCGUGUAUGAAGAAGGCCUUCGGGUUGUAAAGUACUUUCAGCGGGGAGGAAGGGAGUAAAGUUAAUACCUUUGCUCAUUGACGUUACCCGCAGAAGAAGCACCGGCUAACUCCGUGCCAGCAGCCGCGGUAAUACGGAGGGUGCAAGCGUUAAUCGGAAUUACUGGGCGUAAAGCGCACGCAGGCGGUUUGUUAAGUCAGAUGUGAAAUCCCCGGGCUCAACCUGGGAACUGCAUCUGAUACUGGCAAGCUUGAGUCUCGUAGAGGGGGGGUAGAAUUCCAGGUGUAGCGGUGAAAUGCGUAGAGAUCUGGAGGAAUACCGGUGGCGAAGGCGGCCCCCUGGACGAAGACUGACGCUCAGGUGCGAAAGCGUGGGGAGCAAACAGGAU
rnacentral:rRNA from 1 species